AUUGUAAUUGCCGCAAUACAGUGGUUAGCCCUUCACAGUUUGAAGGUCAUGCUGGCCGAGCUGCUCGGCGCAAACCUUACCACAACAUAUACAUGUCCAAUGGCGUUUCACUACACGAGUUGUCGGUUUCUCUUUCAAAAGGCAGAAAACCUUCAGAAAGGCAGAACGAUGACUUAUGCAGCAUCUGUUCAGAUGGCGGGGAGCUUCUUCUUUGUGACUCCUGUCCGAGAGCUUUUCACAGAGAAUGUGUUGGCUUGUCUUCUAUACCAAAAGGAGCUUGGUGUUGCCGGUAUUGUGAAAGCAGGCAACAGAGAGAAUGUUGUUUGGCAUACAACAACAACGCAAU